GACGAACGCUGGCGGCGUGCUUAACACAUGCAAGUCGAACGGAAAGGCCCUGCUUUUGUGGGGUGCUCGAGUGGCGAACGGGUGAGUAACACGUGAGUAACCUGCCCUUGACUUUGGGAUAACUUCAGGAAACUGGGGCUAAUACCGGAUAGGAGCUCCUGCUGCAUGGUGGGGGUUGGAAAGUUUCGGCGGUUGGGGAUGGACUCGCGGCCUAUCAGCUUGUUGGUGGGGUAGUGGCUUACCAAGGCUUUGACGGGUAGCCGGCCUGAGAGGGUGACCGGCCACAUUGGGACUGAGAUACGGCCCAGACUCCUACGGGAGGCAGCAGUGGGGAAUAUUGCACAAUGGGCGGAAGCCUGAUGCAGCAACGCCGCGUGCGGGAUGACGGCCUUCGGGUUGUAAACCGCUUUAGCCUGUGACGAAGCGUGAGUGACGGUAAUGGGUAAAGAAGCACCGGCUAACUACGUG
rnacentral:rRNA from 1 species